rnacentral:rRNA from 1 species
ACACGACUACAUUAGAUACCCGCGUAGUCCUAGCCGUAAACGAUACUCGCUAGGUGUCGGCCACGGUGCGACCGUUGUCGGUGCCGUAGGGAAGCCGUGAAGCGAGCCACCUGGGAAGUACGGCCGCAAGGCUGAAACUUAAAGGAAUUGCGGGGGAGCACCACAACGGGUGGAGCCUGCGGUUUAAUUGGACUCAACGCCGGGAAGCUCACCGGAUAAGACAGCGGAAUGAUUGCCGGGCUGAAGACCCUGCAUGACCAGCUG